UACGGAGGGGGCAAGCGUUAUCCGGAAUGAUUGGGCGUAAAGCGUCCGCAGGUGGCACUACAAGUCUGCUGUCAAAGGCUGGGGCUUAACCUCAGAACGGCGGUGGAAACUGUAGAGCUAGAGAACGGUAGGGGCAGAGGGAAUUCCCAGUGUAGCGGUGAAAUGCGUAGAGAUUGGGAAGAACACCAACAGGCGAAAGCACUCUGCUGGGCCGUCACUGACACUCAGAGACGAAAGCUAGGGGAGCGAAUGGG
rnacentral:rRNA from 1 species